rnacentral:rRNA from 1 species
UACGAAGGGGGCUAGCGUUGUUCGGAUUUACUGGGCGUAAAGCGCGUGUAGGCGGGUCGUUAAGUUGGGGGUGAAAUCCCGAGGCUCAACCUCGGAACUGCCUUCAAAACUGGCGACCUGGAGCAAGAUAGAGGCGAGUGGAAUUGCGAGUGUAGAGGUGAAAUUCGUAGAUAUUCGCAGGAACACCAGUGGCGAAGGCGACUCGCUGGAUCUUUGCUGACGCUGAGACGAGAAAGCGUGGGGAGCAAACAGG